CCCUUAGAUGUUCUGGGCUGCACGCGCGCUACACUGAAGCGUUCAACGAGUAUUCACCUUGCCCGAGAGGCCUGGGCAACCUUUGAACGCCAGUCGUGCUGGGGAUAGAUUCUUGCAAUUAUUAAUCUUCAACGAGGAAUUCCUAGUAAACGCAAGUCAUCAGCUUGCAUUGAUUACGUCCCUGCCCUUUGUACACACCGCCCGUCGCACCUACCGAUUGAAUGGUCCGGUGAAAUCCUCGGAUCGAGCCGUGGGGCAACUCCGGUUCGAGAAGUUGAUUAAACCUUACCAUUUAGAGGAAGGUGAAGUCGUANCA
rnacentral:rRNA from 1 species